AAAUCGGCCAAGAAAGAACAUUUUGGAUGUCUUAACAAGCUAAAUGAGAGAAAAUGAGAGAAGGCCCCAACCCUGGGGGAGGAACGGCCAGGUAAGGCCUUCAUUGGGCAGAAUGGGGUUUUGACCUAUGUCCUCUAAACCUCAGAGGUACAAGCUCGUGGCCUGUGUUAGUACAACUUGUGGCGAGUGAUGCAACUAUUAUCAUUUAACAUUCGUAACAUAUUCACAUGUGAAUAUUGUUAUUUGUAUAAUUAUAAAAGUGCCUGUACAGUGAGUCUAAUCUAAACCAGAUAGAGAACUGAUGGUCAGAAAGUUAUCUGGAGUGGGAAACUGAAUCCCCUCAGGUUUCUCUGAGUUUGUUCAGUUGUUUGGAUUUCGUGUCAUAUGUGAUCAGCUUCCUAGCGUAUUUAUUCUGGCAACGGAGGGGUCGGGUGUGAGAGAAACCUCUUGGAGAAGUUUUCAUUGAAAACUUGGUGUUGCCUAUAUAAGUCUUAUUUCUUGAUCACUUCCACAGAGUAAAACAAAUCUCAGUAAAUGGGAGGCUUGUUGCUUUUUUCCAUUUUUCUGCUCUAAGAUUAUUUUGGAGUUUCUUGGUAUUGUUCAUUUCUUCCCCUGUGUUUAGAUAUCUCCCCUAACUCUUAUCACCGCUGGUGUCUGUCUACUCCUCCAGGUCCCCACAUCCUUUCACUUGCUUUGUUCAGUUUUCUGGUCUUUUGGUAUGAACUCCCUUCAAGCCAGAGUGUUGGGUCUGUUACUCUCUAAUUAUUUUUUUCAGAGCAAUUUUCCCCAAUAUAAAUUAUACCCUCAAUUACUUUUCUCUCCCUGGAGCAGUGAAUCACAUUCUAAGAAGCUGUUAGGGUGGAGGCAGUUGGAUACCAAGCUGGGAGGUUUCAGCCAGUGCCGGCUUGUCACCCUCAUUCUGUUUACCAUGCUGCAGCGGCCAAAGUGCAGCCUUGUGCUAAAGUUACCAGCAAUGGAAGGGCCUUCAGUGCCUAUUCCUGCUACACCACGUGCUCUGGGUACCUAUGUGAAGGAGACACCAUAUUUUAAAGCACUGGCCUGUGCUUGGAGGCAAGAAGAAAAAUUUGCUCAAUCUAGGAUGGCUUGAUAUUUGAAAACUGAGUAGAUUGCAUAAGUGUCCCCAGUCUUCAUCCCUCCCUGGAUUACUACUCUCUGCCAUAUGACUUGACAGUUUUUCCGAUCCAGAGAUGACCCACUGAGAGUGACUGUGAUGCCUGCUUCAGCCAAUAGGAUGUUAGCAGAUGUGAUAUAAGCAGAGGCUUGGAAGCGUGCUUGCACCCCUGGACUUGCUGUCUUGCAUCGUUACUAUUUCUGUGAGAAGAGCACGCCUGGGCUGGCCCACUGGUCCCAGGAUGGGAAUGAGAGGUAUGUGGGGCAGAGCUGCCCCCAGGAAGCUGCCCCAGCCCCUCCCAGCCUAGAACAGAACCAUCCAGCUGACCCAGAGAUGCAUGAACAAACCCAGCCGAGAUUGGCAGGUCUGCCUAGCCAACGUUCACGUGAACUGCUGAUGCCAGAGCCCAAGUAGGAAGUGAUUGUUGUUUUCAGCUUCUGAAUUUUGAGGUGGUUUGCUUCCCAGCAAUUGCGAUGAUGUCAAGCCCUCUGAGACCAUUGUGAUGAUUGUAUGAGCAACUAGAAGCAAAAGCACUUCACAAAUGUAAAAUUGUGGGGCGUGAGCAUAAGGGAAUGCACUGUUGAACAAGCUCUGGGCCUGGAAACCGAAGACCCGAGCUCAAAUCCACUCAUGCCCCCAAUCACUCUACACACUUGGGCAGAGACCUGAAAGUGUGGGCUACAUGAAUGAGUGAGGUAGGAGAAAAACCUCCACCAUGGCUUACAGAAGGCACCUUUCUGACAUCUCUUCACUUGGAAUAAAGCAAAGCUGGGGACAAUUAUGAAGUCUUUGGUCACAUGGAGAGAUAAUAGUCCAGACUGGCAGUUCGAUACACCUGUAAGAGCUCUCCCUUAGCUACCUUUAACUUUUCUAGGUUGUGUAUUACCUGACCUUGGACAAGUCACCUACCCUAUGGGCAAGUGGAUGCAGUAUGGUUCAUUCAUUCAUUGUGUAUUGAUUACAUGCUCCAUUCCAGGAACUACUCUCUGGACACUGGGGAUGAAACAGUAUUCAGACAUGGCUCCUGAGCUGGCUACCAUCUCAGGUUGAUGCUUCUAAUGAGGAAAUUCUUAAAGGCAUUUUGUUAUUCCAGAGAAGGACAGCCCCUACAGUGCCUUCUUCAGACUGAAGCCUAUAAUAAGAAAUAAAUGGAAAUGCUAGUUAGGGAAAUAGAGGCAGAGAGAGAGAUAGGAAAAGUCUUCCUUGAUACGACAGAAUGCUUCUCCAGGCUAACUCCCCAGUAGAACCUAGUGUGGUUAACAGCUUGGACUUGUCUCAUUGGGCAAAUUACUUACGUCUCUAGAUUUAAUUUCCUCAACUGUAAC